UACGUAGGGACCAAGCGUUGUUCGGAUUUACUGGGCGUAAAGCGUGCGCAGGCGGUUUGCUAAGACAGGUGUGAAAUCCCCGGGCUUAACCUGGGAAUUGCAUCCGAAACUAUGGAUCUUGAAUACUCGAGAGGUUGGUAGAAUUCCUGGUGUAGGAGUGAAAUCCGUAGAUAUCAGGAGGAACACCGGAGGCGAAGGCGGCCGGCUGGCGAUGUAUUGACGCUGAGGUGCGAAAGCGUGGGGAGCAAACAGG
rnacentral:rRNA from 1 species